GAGUUCAGGGUGAGCUCAGCUGGUCGGCCUAAUGGGUCAUAACUGGUUGACUCUCCCUUGGUUGUGGAUCCCUCCGGAGUUAAUUCUUCGGGUGUGGAGUCCACAUCGUUUACCUUGAAAAAAUUAGAGUGUUCAAAGCAGGCGUUUGCUUGAAUAUAUUAGCAUGGAAUAAUGGAAUAGGACGCUGGUUCUAUUUUGUUGGUUUUGAGAACCAGAGUAAUGAUUAAUAGGGACAGUUGGGGGCAUUCAUAUUUCAUUGUCAGAGGUGAAAUUCUUGGAUUUAUGAAAGAUGAACUUCUGCGAAAGCAUUUGCCAAGGAUGUUUUCAUUAAUCAAGAACGAAAGUUAGGGGAUCGAAGACGAUCAGAUACCGUCGUAGGCUUAACCAUAAACUAUGCCGACUACGGAUUGGGCGUGAUUUGUUCAUUGACCCGC
rnacentral:rRNA from 1 species